CAGUCGCCGCGGUAAUACGAAGGUCCCGAGCGUUGUUCGGAAUCACUGGGCGUAAAGGGAGCGUAGGCGGCGUGGUAAGUCAGAUGUGAAAUCCCGGGGCUCAACCCCGGAACUGCAUCCGAUACUGCCAUGCUAGAGGAUUGGAGAGGUAGCUGGAAUUCUUGAUGUAGCAGUGAAGUGCGUGGAGAUCAAGAGGAACACUCGUGGCGAAAGCGAGCUACUGGACAAUAACUGACGCUGAGGCUCGAAGGCCAGGGUAGCGAAAGGGAUUAGAUACCCGAGUAGUCCCUGUCUCUUAUAC
rnacentral:rRNA from 1 species